UAUUGCACAAUGGGGGAAACCCUGAUGCAGCGACGCCGCGUGAGUGAAGAAGUAUCUCGGUACGUAAAGCUCUAUCAGCAGGGAAGAAAAUGACGGUACCUGACUAAGAAGCCCCGGCUAACUACGUGCCAGCAACCGCGGUAAUACGUAGGGGGCAAGCGUUAUCCGGAUUUACUGGGUGUAAAGGGAGCGUAGACGGCAGUGCAAGUCUGGAGUGAAAGGCGGGGGCUCAACCCCCGGACUGCUCUGGAAACUGUACGGCUAGAGUGCAGGAGGGGUGAGCGGAAUUUCUAGUGUAGCGGUGAAAUGCGUAGACAUUAGGAGGAACACCGGUGGCGAAGGCGGCUCACUGGACUGUAACUGACGUUGAGGCUCGAAAGCGUGGGGAGCAAACAG
rnacentral:rRNA from 1 species